CAGUUCAGGAGAGACUACCCCCGAGAU
rnacentral:rRNA from 1 species